AAAUAAAGAAAAAACAAGCUAAUUUUAUGGACACAUUCUCCGACAAGUGCUUCUAUGUAUUUGUUCUUGCACUGGCAGACGUAGGUUAAUCUCAGCCAGAGAUUCUGAAAUCAAGCUGAGACACAAGCUGCUGGCUAAGAGGCAUGACCCAGGGCAGGAUGUACAU